rnacentral:rRNA from 1 species
GACGAACGCUGGCGGCGUUCUUAACACAUGCAAGUCGAACGGAAAGGCCCCUUUGGGGGUACUCGAGUGGCGAACGGGUGAGUAACACGUGAGUAACCUGCCCUUGACUUCGGGAUAACUUCAGGAAACUGGGGCUAAUACCGGAUAGGAAUCCUUGCUGCAUGGUGGGGGUUGGAAAGCUUCGGCGGUUUUGGAUGGACUCGCGGCUUAUCAGCUUGUUGGUGGGGUAGUGGCUUACCAAGGCUUUGACGGGUAGCCGGCCUGAGAGGGCGACCGGCCACAUUGGGACUGAGAUACGGCCCAGACUCCUACGGGAGGCAGCAGUGGGGAAUAUUGCACAAUGGGCGGAAGCCUGAUGCAGCAACGCCGCGUGCGGGAUGACGGCCUUCGGGUUGUAAACCGCUUUCAGCAGGGGCGAAGCUUGUGGUGACGGUACCUGCAGAAGAAGCACCGGCUAACUACGUG